rnacentral:rRNA from 1 species
UACGUAGGGGGCAAGCGUUAUCCGGAUUUACUGGGUGUAAAGGGAGCGUAGACGGUUUGGCAAGUCAGAUGUGAAAGCCCAGGGCUCAACCCUGGGACUGCAUUUGAAACUGCCAAACUAGAGUGCAGGAGAGGUAAGUGGAAUUCCUAGUGUAGCGGUGAAAUGCGUAGAUAUUAGGAGGAACACCAGUGGCGAAGGCGGCUUACUGGACUGUAACUGACGUUGAGGCUCGAAAGCGUGGGGAGCAAACAGG